GAAAGUAUGGCUCAGUGGUAGAGCACAUGCUUAGCAGGCACAAGGUCUGGGGUUCAAUUCCCGGCACCUCCA
rnacentral:tRNA from 1 species